UCUUCUUAAUUGACCUAGCCAGAUAAUUGUUCAAAAUAAUAGUGGCAACCAUGUAUUUGAUUAUGUAUGCUUAUGAAUAUAGCUUAUGUGUGCAUAUAUACAUAUAUUCUUAUGUAUGUAUGUAAAAUAAAUGACAACAGUGACACAAGGAAGGGAGGAAGGAAUUAGGAUUUUGUUAAUAUAAGGCAUUUGUAUUACCCAGGAAUUAAUCUAGACAUAGACCUAUACCUUCACAAAAAUUAACUUAAAAUGGAUCAUAGACUUAAUAUAAAGCACAAAACUAUAAAACUCCUGGAAGAUCACAUUAAAGAGAACCUAGAUGACCUUAGGUAUGGAAAUGACUUCUAAAUACAAACCAAAGGCACAAUCCAUGAAAGAAACAGCUGAACACAAUGCCAACAGUGAACCCGAAUGGAUGAUUACCAAGGGGAUGGAGGAGAAAGAAUGGGCAAGUGGGUGAAAAGGAGUGGGAGAUACAGGCUUCCAGUUACGGAAUGAAUACAUCAUCGUAAUAAAAGGCCGAGCAUA